rnacentral:rRNA from 1 species
UAAUACGUAGGUGGCAAGCGUUGUCCGGAUUUACUGGGCGUAAAGAGCGCGCAGGCGGUCGAUUAAGUCGGAUGUGAAAUCCCCUGGCUCAACUGGGGGGCGUCAUUCGAUACUGCUCGACUUGAAGGCAGGAGAGGGAAGCGGAAUUCCCGGUGUAGUGGUGAAAUGCGUAGAUAUCGGGAGGAACACCAGUGGCGAAGGCGGCUUCCUGGCCUGUUCUUGACGCUGAGGCGCGAAAGCCAGGGGAGCAAACGGGAUUAGAUACCCCGGUAGUCCUGGCCCUAAACGAUGAAUGCUUGGUGUGGCGGGUAUCGAUCCCUGCCGUGCCGAAGCUAACGCAUUAAGCAUUCCGCCUGGGGAGUACGGUCGCAAGGCUG